CAGACCUUCCUCCAGAUGAAACUAACUAGGCUCAGAAGAAAUAAAUAACUACAGUGUUCAUCAUAGGCUUGGAACCAAGGCAGAACACUGCCAGACGGACAAACCGCAGAACCGGUCCAAACCAGAAAGGUCCAAGAUGGCUAGGGUGCUGUGCACUGGAGGAAACUUGCGCAAAGACGCCGUGUGCAAGAAGGGAAGAUCUGCGUAUGCCCCAACUGCCCCGCCCCAAACGGGUCCGUGUUCCCUCGCUGUUCUCAUGAUGAAUAAAUAAUGCCAUGAUGCCGUGGAGCUGCGGACCUUGCCCUUCUUGUGAAAAGGGCCGCAUCUGCUUAUUCUCAGACAUUCACGAUCCUAAAGGAAUAAGACACCAGAGGCCUGUGAAUGAGAAGGCCUUUUCAGACGUACAAAGCCUUCGCUCCUGAAUCCACCUUAACCAGUUUGGAGAAAAGAGCUUUUGGCACCAAGGCAUCCUUCAGAGAAGACUG
rnacentral:lncRNA from 1 species